rnacentral:tRNA from 1 species
AGAGUAUAGCUCAGUGGCAGAAUGCAUGCAUAGAAUGCAUGAGUUUCUGGGUUCAAUCCCCAGUAUGUCUA